rnacentral:rRNA from 1 species
GUCAGAGGGUGCAAACGUUGUUCGGAAUUACUGGGCGUAAAGCGCGUGUAGGCUGCUUCGCAAGUCGGAUGUGAAAGCCCUGGGCUCAACCCAGGGAGUGCAUUCGAAACUGCAGAGCUGGAGUCCUGGAGAGGAAGGCGGAAUUCUCGGUGUAGAGGUGAAAUUCGUAGAUAUCGAGAGGAACACCGGUGGCGAAGGCGGCCUUCUGGACAGUGACUGACGCUGAGACGCGAAAGCGUGGGGAGCAAACAGG